GACGAAGGGGCUAGCGUUGUUCGGAAUUACUGGGCGUAAAGCGAGUGUAGGUGGUUGUCAUAGUCAGGCGUGAAAGCCUUGGAGCAUCAACUCAAAGAAUGCGCUUGAUACUGGGCAGCUAGAGGACCGGAGAGGAUAGUGGAAUUCCCAGUGUAGUGGUGAAAUACGUAGAGAUUGGGAAGAACACCAGUGGCGAAGGCGGCUAUCUGGACGGUUUCUGACACUAAGACUCGAAAGCGUGGGGAGCAAACAGG
rnacentral:rRNA from 1 species